CACAUCAUGGAGAUGCUGGCUGCCCUGUGGCCUCGCUGAUCACCAGAGGGAGACAGAGCGUGUAACAUUUCGAGAUAGUGCUGAAAGUGGCAAGCAAUGCUCAAGGAGAUGCCCACAAGGUAGCCUGCAGUUAGUAGCCCGCAACCAAGAGGAUGAACUCCCACUGCAGUUAAUCUCAGAGAUUACCAGAUUGAGAAAGGGAGCUAAAGAUCAGGAUGCAGUCACAUCUGGCCGAUCCCAUAACUUGAGACUAAUCUGCCUUCAAGAACAGUGUCUGAACCACCAUUUCAGCAAAGUAAGAUUGCUGCUGAAACCAGAACACCUUUUCCAGCAGAAUGCUUUUCCAAAACUAACAUUUUAGGAUCUGAUAGAAAGAAGCAGCUAUUACGAUGAGUAUGGAGCACACACAGAUCUGUGUAUACAGAAUACAGACAGUGCUGCACACAGGUACCCACUGGCUGCAGCACAGAGAUUUGACAACCAAUGCUUUCUUUUUCUUAUUGGCCAUAGACCACGUUAAAUUGAAAACUAAACUCUUUGUUGAGCCAGGUGAUGAAUUUGAGUUCUUCUCUUCUUGACAUAAUCACUACUACACUCUGCUUCACCCAGAAAGAGCUGGUAUCAGGUAAGGCAGUACCCAUGGGAGAAAUUGAACCUAUAUUCGGCAAGGUAUAUCAGCUGCCAAAUUAAUCAAAGGAAUCCACAGCUGCAGUGGUAAUGUAGUUGGUUUUGGUCCUGCCUUCUCCCUGUUGCUCUGCCCAACAGCUGAGAUGAACUAUCAGAGCACUGUCUUGCAUGUACCCAGCUGUGGACAGACAGAUAGAUGUUGGAAAUACCAUUUAUCCUCAUGGCUGAAUCUGUAGAAGGCAUGUAAGUAAAUGUAUAGGUAAGUUGUCUUGAUUGUAAGUCACUUGUGUAGUAGAUACUAGAACAGUUCUGAGGAAUGACUAAUAUUAGUUUACUGUUAACUACAUGCCACUCACAUGCUGUGGACCUGCCCUCAGUUGUACUUAAUUCUUCAAAGAAUUGGUGCUAGGAAUUGUGUAAGAGUGUUGCUGGCUGGACCACCACCACUGUUACUUUCUUCUAAUGUAAUUCCUAUGGGGCUUUUCUCCAUGGCUUGUCUGGGCUGCACCAUGCUUCACUGUAGAAGCUAAACAGAUUGCAAGUGGAGCAGAGCUAGAAGUGCCACCUUCCCCCUUUUUGUGCAGACUGACCAUAACGACAGAAAGCUGUCCAGAAAGCUGUGCACUUCUGCAGCUCCACUGCUGUCUAUGCCUCAGGAUGCCCUUACACAGAUACACAAGGAGUGUUCACCAGAGAUCUGUCAACCACCUCUCUUGUCCCUGGUCAACCACCUCUCUUACCCUCAGGCCCCAAGAGACAAAUGACACCCAAAUUUAUCACCUUUAUAAGAGCAUUUUAAAGCAUGGAACCAAACCUAUUACAAAAAUGAAAACCAAAAGGAUCUCAGAAGAAACAGAAUGUUUUUAUUGUCUAUGACUGAAAAGGAAACCUGUUUUGGAAAAAACCUUCCCCUUUCUGAGGCAGCAAGACAGCCAUGGAGGAAAAUGUAGUGUCCUGGUUUGAUUUCUUCUCCUAGACAGAAGAAUUGGUGCAUGUCAACUAGUUAUAGAGGAAUCAGCUUGGAGGACCACAAUUUUCUCAAGGCUAUUUUUUACACCGGUACCUGACAACCCAUGUAUUUAUUACAGCUGACCUAAUCUAAAACAUCUUUUCUCUUUCAUUGCUACCUAAAAAAGACAUAAUAGUAACAACUUCUCUCACAACAUCUUCUCUACUCUGUUUCUGCUUAUGCAAUGACCACAAGCCUUCACAAGCUUGCUUAUCAUACUUUGAGAUGGGGCUGUCUCUUAAGUUACGUUUGCUGUACUUUUAUGAAUGCAUCAGGCUUAAAUAGCCCACUUGGUAAAACCCAGAGACUCUCUCGAGUGGCCCACAGGAGAUAGAGAGGUGAGGGUAAUCUGUAAUGUGAUGGCUUUUCUUUGUUUGAAUUUGGAUCCUCUCUGCUUUUGCUGUUUUGCUGUUUAGUAUGAUGAACUUUUAAUUCCUGUCAGUCUCUGAGCUUCUUACAGCAAUGACUGUCUGCAGCUGCCAAGCAAAGAGUAAAAGUGAGAAGUGGGUGCAUCUCCAACAUUUGGUAAGACCUUAUCUGAACCCUUUCUGUGAGUUUUCUGACUAUAGUCAUGAGCAAUCAGAUGCCCAUGCAGAGACUGAAAGCAGAUAAACUUAUCAAAGGACAGUAACAAAGCAAGGAGGUUCAAUAAGCUGUGUUACUUCUUGAGUAAAUACAGCUGCCAUCACAACACUGAAGGUAGACUGACCCAGAACUGGUUUGGUGUGGUAAGAUCAGUGUCCCUUCUCAUGCGUUAAGUAGGUGACUUGGUCUUUUAUGAGAUCCACCAGGAGUGUUUUAUAAGCAGAACUGCCAUAUAGUCAUAUGGUCAAAUAACAGACCAUAUAGUCAUUUGUCACUUCAGGACUGGGAAGAUGACUGUUGAGUUCUGCCCUUCUGUCUGCCUCCUUUCAGUUAUGAAAAUUGAUUGUGUAUUGAUUGUAUGGUAUAUUGACUAACUGCUAACACCAUAAAUGAGGACUGCAAAACUGCCUACUUUUCCAUAGCUAAGAAAGGGGAUUGCCUACACAUGAAAAGUGCCCUACGUGUUUUCACAUUCAGGCUUUUGUAGCAGCAGCUACGAAGGGGGAGAAAAUAUGCCCACCCACCCGAUAUGACAGCAUCAGACUGAGGCACGGCCAGGG